AUGGUCGGACCGGUCAAACCGACCCGUUCGAUUCGAUUUUUAAAAAGAUGUAACGACCUGUCCCACUAGCAAUAACAACUCGUUGAGCUUAAACACCAGCUCAAAAUGUUUAAAUUUAGUUAUUAUUACUAGUGGAUGUGGGAUUAUUGGUAUAGUUGGUCAUCUUGUCAUUCAGACUCCGGUAUCGUUUAUCACUUUUUUUUUUCAGAUCUUGACUCAACCGAAACUCGCCAUACAUUUUCGGCUGGUGAACCGGCUAAACAACCCGGCCUGCUAGCAAUAAUAACAAGUUGGGUCCAAACACGGACCCAAAAUAGUUAAGUCCAGUUAUUAUUGUUAGUGUUUAAGUCUCUUAUAUAUCUAAUCACAUUUUUAUUCCUAUCCGACGUGGGAUUAUUGGAGUAUGACAAAAAAUUU
rnacentral:lncRNA from 1 species